CCUACGGGUGGCAGCAGUGGGGAAUAUUGGACAAUGGGCGAAAGCCUGAUCCAGCCAUGCCGCGUGUGUGAAGAAGGCCUUCGGGUUGUAAAGCACUUUCAGUGGGGAAGAAAGCCUUGGGGCUAAUACCCUCGAGGAAGGACAUCACCCACAGAAGAAGCACCGGCUAACUCCGUGCCAGCAGCCGCGGUAAUACGGGGGGUGCGAGCGUUAAUCGGAAUUACUGGGCGUAAAGCGCGCGUAGGCGGUCUGAUAAGCCGGUUGUGAAAGCCCCGGGCUCAACCUGGGAACGGCAUCCGGAACUGUCAGGCUAGAGUGCAGGAGAGGAAGGUAGAAUUCCCGGUGUAGCGGUGAAAUGCGUAGAGAUCGGGAGGAAUACCAGUGGCGAAGGCGGCCUUCUGGACUGACACUGACGCUGAGGUGCGAAAGCGUGGGUAGCAAACAGGAUUAGAUACCCUGGUAGUC
rnacentral:rRNA from 1 species